UACGAAGGGGACUAGCGUUGUUCGGAAUCACUGGGCGUAAAGGGUGCGUAGGCGGGUCUUUAAGUCAGGGGUGAAAUCCUGGAGCUCAACUCCAGAACUGCCUCUGAUACUGAGGAUCUUGAGUUCGGGAGAGGUGAGUGGAACUGCGAGUGUAGAGGUGAAAUUCGUAGAUAUUCGCAAGAACACCAGUGGCGAAGGCGGCUCACUGGCCCGAUACUGACGCUGAGGCACGAAAGCGUGGGGAGCAAACAGG
rnacentral:rRNA from 1 species